UGACUAUGAAAUCUUUUCUCCGUGUUUUGAUCUUAGGUUCCCAUGGGUGGGGAAGAGCGAAUGAAAGAGUUCCCCCCACUUGUCCCUCAGGACAUUACACUGAAAGGAAUUGGUACCACUGAGGCAGUUGCAGAUAUCAAGCUUUCCUCUGCAGGAUGGGUGGCAGUGACAGCUCAUGCAGAAGAGGAAUUGCUACUCCAAGCCUAUACUCCCAAGGGCACCACGUUGGUGGUGCGGGAGCCUCCUCUUUUGCCUUACAUCAGUUCCAUCCGAGGGUCCCGGAUCGCAGGCACCGCUGCCUACAGGACCAAAAAGCCUCCCUCCCUUGUGGAAAACCUGAAAACCACGGGGAGCAGAUAGCACUUCUUGUCAUCUGAACAAGACAGAAGGCAGAAGAGCCUCUGGAGAACCUUGUUGCUUAUUGAUAUUCAGAAGACCUUGAACUCCUUUUAAAAGGCAGACAGGCACAUUUUGGAAAGCAGGUGUGGGGGGAGCUCCAUAAGUUCAUACCUGAUGCAGUUGCCGAACUGCAGCCAAUUUGAAUGAGCUGAGUGGCUGGUACCUUGCUGUGAGAGGUGAAACAGCUUCUCCCUGGGAUCUGCCAGUAUCUAUGAGCAAAUCCCUUUACCUGUCCCCUCUUGAAAUACGGGAUGGAAACUCACCUGCCUGACCUGGGCUGGCUCCACUGCUUGUAGAGUAGACGGCUUGUUGCAGACAUGCCCCUUCAGGUCAGAAAUUGUCACCUUGUUCUUGGAGGUUUUACAGUGUUUCCACAGUUACGGAGGUGGAGGGAAUUGGAAAGAACAGGGAAUGCUCUGUCAUGGUUGUGACUCUCCUAAUUGUAGUGGCUGAUACUGAUUCAACAUCGACCUUUCACUCCUUCAGAAUCUGAGGCAGAUGAGGAUGUGCAGUGCCCUGCUUUUGGACACAGGAGAGGUGAAUCAAUGAAAAGCAGGUCUCCUGAUGUGUGUGAAGAGGAAAAUUUUACAACUCACUGCUUUGAUUUGGUUUCUGCGGAUUGUGUAAAGGUUUUUGAAACUGAGGGUGUAAAAUAAAAUUUUUCAAAGACA